GUUGUGCAUGCGUGCAUAUUGCAUUUAAUAACACCGAAUACAUCUUAUUUGAUACUGAUAUUGAUGUCGAAAGAUAAAGAGAAGUUUUGUAUCUCAUUCUUCAACAGAAGCCCGAAAAUACAUAUGAAACAAAUAUUCUGUACAAUCCAUGAUUUGUGAUUUUGUAAAAAAUUAUAGAAGAUACAAUGAUACAAAUCACGGACCUUCCGGAAGAAAUCUUGCUGAUCAUAGUAAGAAGACUGGAUUUCUGGACUUUAUCCCAAAUGUAUAAUACCUGUAAGAGUUUCAGAAAUCUGCUCUCCUUGCAUGGGGUUAUUGUUGAAUGUAACAUGUCUAAGAAUUUAAUGGCAACAGUGAACACACUGAAGCUUGGACUCUUCAAAUCGAUUGCAAACCAUCUGUUAGAACUCAACAUGCAAGGUGUGCCAGAUUUAACUAGAUCAAAAGUUCUGCCUGCCUUUAAGAAGUUGAAACGUUUAAAGAUCCUAGACAUUUCCUACACAAACCUGAAUAUUUCUGAUUUAAUGGCAAUACAUAGUGUAUGUCCUUCUUUGAAAGAUGUUACUGUCAAUUUUGUUUCUGGCGAAGGUACUACUGUUUUGCUAGCAGAAGAGUGUAUAUUACAGCACCAAUUACUUUUUGCACAUUUUGAAAAUAUUCAUCUGGUGGGUUCCUUGCAAAACUUGUUACAUUCUAAAUUAGUAUUCCGUUUCUUGAAAAAAGCAAAAUUAGACACCCUCAAAUUUAGUGCAGUACAAGUUGAUAAUAUGCACAUAACAGUUUUGAAACCGUAUAACGUAGUUUAUGAAGUACCUCAAUUCAAUCACUUUGCAAUUUUUUUGAUGAAUUGGAGGGCAACCAGGACCUAUGGAUAUCUCUCCCAGUUUCCUAUCAUAUCCAUGUUAAAUCUUGAAAACUAUGAUAUCUUUAUGAUUAACUGUACAAAUGGGCAUGCAGUCUCUGUUUAUGCUACAUCAAUAUUUACAAAGUUCUUCAGGGAAAAAUUUAACAUUGAUGCAGAAAAUCUCUCAGAAGGCAGCCAACCAGUUGGAAAUGCUGCUUUAUUCAUAUGGAAUAAAAAAACCACAAAUUUUGAUGACAUAUUUUUUCAGAAGUUGUAUGUUCGCAUAAAGCCCUAUUUCUGUUUUAUUUAUGAAGACAAAUCAGAAACAAGCUGUCCAGUUCAAUAUGAUUGGAUCUAUACUGAACCACAACCUGUUGAUGGGCUCCUGCCUUUUCUUCGUGGUGAUCAUUUUGGUGAUGAUCCAGAUGUAUUUGAAGCAAAGUUAAGAAAAACUGCAAUGCCAAGUGUAAAGCUAAAUUAUGAUUUGGUACUGAAAGAUAAAGUUGAAGCACAGUUAAGUAUAGUUUUUAAGUCAUCAAUAGUAGCUUCAGUUUCACUGCAAAGGAAUUGUAGUUAUUACACAAAACUAACAUUUUUAAGUUUAGUAGCAGGUAAGGCUAUAAGUUAUAGCAUGGACUUUUUUGACAGAUUGUUUCUCUACUGUCAAAAUUUAACUACUCUAUCAAUGGAAUGUCCCAAUGUUACACGCGUAUACAGUCUACACAUAUCGCGUGCUGCACAAAUUAGUCCCACCUUAAAACAUUUACGUAUGGUUGAUAAGGCUGUUGAUUUUAAAAAUGUAUUUGAAAAUUUGAGCAACUGCAAGACAUUAGAAAGCAUUAAUUUAGUUGACUUGAAAUCAUGGGAUCGCCCUAAAAUAGCUGACCCUUCUUUAUUAAUAGAAAAGUGCGACAAGUUAUGCAGUGUUAUCAUAGAAGCACCACUUGCUGAAACUGCUCAAACUCAACUGUUUCAGUGGUGUAAUAAAGCCAAAACUAAGUUUAGGAAACCCUAUCUUCGGGUUAUAAUAAAUAGGAUGUCUAACAACAAUAGAUUUAAGUACGAUUAUGAUCCAUUUAUAGAUGUGUUCCAAUUAAAUCCAAUAAAACCAGUCUAAAAUGCA